UAGCUAGUUGGUGAGGUAAAGGCUUACCAAGGCGACGAUCUGUAGCGGGUCUGAGAGGAUGAUCCGCCACACUGGAACUGAGACACGGUCCAGACUCCUACGGGAGGCAGCAGUGGGGAAUUUUGGACAAUGGGGGCAACCCUGAUCCAGCCAUGCCGCGUGAGUGAAGAAGGCCUUCGGGUUGUAAAGCUCUUUCGGCCGGGAAGAAAUCGCAUGGGCCAAUACCCUGUGUGGAUGACGGUACCGGAAUAAGAAGCACCGGCUAACUACGUGCCAGCAGCCGCGGUAAUACGUAGGGUGCGAGCGUUAAUCGGAAUUACUGGGCGUAAAGCGUGCGCAGGCGGUUUUGUAAGACAGGCGUGAAAUCCCCGGGCUUAACCUGGGAACUGCGUUUGUGACUGCAAGGCUAGAGUACGGCAGAGGGGGGUGGAAUUCCACGUGUAGCAGUGAAAUGCGUAGAGAUGUGGAGGAACACCAAUGGCGAAGGCAGCCCCCUGGGUCGAUACUGACGCUCAUGCACGAAAGCGUGGGUAGCAAACAGGAUUAGAUACCCUGGUAGUCCACGCCCUAAACUAUGUCAACUAGGUGUUGGGUGGGUAAAACCAUUUAGUACCGUAGCUAACGCGUGAAGUUGACCGCCUGGGGAGUACGGCCGCAAGGUUAAAACUCAAAGGAAUUGACGGGGACCCGCACAAGCGGUGGAUGAUGUGGAUUAAUUCGAUGCAACGCGAAAAACCUUACCUACCCUUGACAUGCCAGGAACUUGCCAGAGAUGGCUUGGUGCCCGAAAGGGAGCCUGGACACAGGUGCUGCAUGGCUGUCGUCAGCUCGUGUCGUGAGAUGUUGGGUUAAGUCCCGCAACGAGCGCAACCCUUGUCGUUAAUUGCCAUCAUUUAGUUGGGCACUUUAACGAGACUGCCGGUGACAAACCGGAGGAAGGUGGGGAUGACGUCAAGUCCUCAUGGCCCUUAUGGGUAGGGCUUCACACGUCAUACAAUGGUCGGUACAAAGGGUUGCCAAGCCGCGAGGCGGAGCCAAUCCCAGAAAGCCGAUCGUAGUCCGGAUUGCAGGCUGCAACUCGCCUGCAUGAAGUCGGAAUCGCUAGUAAUCGUGGAUCAGCAUGUCACGGUGAAUACGUUCCCGGGUCUUGUACACACCGCCCGUCACACCAUGGGAGCGGGUUCCGCCAGAAGUAGGUAGCCUAACCGCAAGGGGGGCGCUUACCACGGCGGGGUUCGUGACUGGGGUGAAGUCGAACAAGGUAGCCGUAGGGGAACCUGCUGCUG
rnacentral:rRNA from 1 species